rnacentral:rRNA from 1 species
CCUACGGGAGGCUGCAGUGGGGAAUAUUGGACAAUGGGCGAAAGCCUGAUCCAGCCAUGCCGCGUGUGUGAAGAAGGCCUUCGGGGUGUAAAGCACUUUCAGUGGGGAAGAAAGCCUUGGGGCUAAUACCCUCGAGGAAGGACAUCACCCACAGAAGAAGCACCGGCUAACUCCGUGCCAGCAGCCGCGGUAAUACGGAGGGUGCGAGCGUUAAUCGGAAUUACUGGGCGUAAAGCGCGCGUAGGCGGUCUGAUAAGCCGGUUGUGAAAGCCCCGGGCUCAACCUGGGAACGGCAUCCGGAACUGUCAGGCUAGAGUGCAGGAGAGGAAGGUAGAAUUCCCGGUGUAGCGGUGAAAUGCGUAGAGAUCGGGAGGAAUACCAGUGGCGAAGGCGGCCUUCUGGACUGACACUGACGCUGAGGUGCGAAAGCGUGGGUAGCAAACAGGAUUAGAUACCCGUGUAGUC